rnacentral:lncRNA from 1 species
AUCAUGCCACUGCACUGCAGCCUGGGCGACAGAACAAGACUCCAUCUCAAAAAAAGAAAAAACGUGUUAGCUAGAAGAAAAUUAUUCCGUCUUCACAUGCCCCAAAGCCUGGGCAUUUUGUUUCACUGUCAUUUUACAUAAGUAAUAUGACAGAAAGAACCACAGAGAAUAAAAAAGAUCUGCCUUUUUUUUUCUGAAUCUGAAGCUAUACGAGUUUUGGCAAUCUUAUUUUCCUUAUCUACAACUCAGAGAUAAGACCAUCAGUUCUAUCUGUUUUUAAGGAUUAAUUUUGAAGAUAAAGUGAAACUAUGUUAAAUAUUUCUGUAACUAGAAAGUUUCAUUCCUCUAUAUCCUAUUACAUUUAUUAUUUCUUGAAUAUAAUAUAAAAAAUUAUCUCUGCAGACAGUCAAAAUUUCCAUUAAGUGUCUGAGAAGCAAGACUGGCACCUUAAUCUAUGUCCCUGGGGUCACCUUGCCUUUGCCAAAUGAUUCAGUUUUUUCGAGAACGUACAGUCAGCUCUCUGUAUCUGUGGGCUCCACAUCCAUGGAUUCAACCAAUUGUGAAUUUAAACCACUUGAAAAUAAACUGCAUCUGUACUGAACAUA